rnacentral:rRNA from 1 species
GAUGAACGCUGGCGGCGUGCUUAACACAUGCAAGUCGAACGGAAAGGCUCCUGCUUGCAGGGGUACUCGAGUGGCGAACGGGUGAGUAACACGUGGGUGAUCUGCCCUGCACUUCGGGAUAAGCCUGGGAAACUGGGGCUAAUACCGGAUAGGACGAUGGUUUGGAUGCCAUUGUGGAAAGUUUUUCGGUGUGGGAUGAGCUCGUGGCCUAUCAGCUUGUUGGUGGGGUAAUGGCCUACUAAGGCGUCGACGGGUAGCCGGCCUGAGAGGGUGUACGGCCACAUUGGGACUGAGAUACGGCCCAGACUCCUACGGGAGGCAGCAGUGGGGAAUAUUGCACAAUGGGCGCAAGCCUGAUGCAGCGACGCCGCGUGGGGGAUGACGGCCUUCGGGUUGUAAACUCCUUUCGCUGGGGACGAAGCGCAAGUGACGGUACCUGGAGAAGAAGCACCGGCUAACUACGUG